CAAGCAACCACUCCAUCCUGCCUCCCCGACACCUCCAACGCGUCGCCGCCUCCUGCAACGCCCCACCCUGCCUCACCACGCGCCGCUCGCCGCCGCCGCCCACCCCGCUGGCGCGCCUACCCCUACCCCGAGUGCCCCCACACCCGCAGCCUUCCACUGCCGGCGACCCGUGGCCUGCCACCGCCGACGACGAGGAACUGCCGGAUCUCGACGAAUCAGGUGAGGAAUGGCGCGUAGGCAGCGAAUCUGGAAGGAAGGCGGCCGGGGCUUGGAGCAUGACGGCUACCGGCGCGCCAUGGCAUUGGGGGGAGGGGGUGUCCCAUGCUCCGACCGUUUGUGUCCGCGCGAGGAGCUCACCCCCAAAUAACUCCUCGGGCGUCCUGCGGGCCCAGGCUGGAGGCGGCAGGCCGCAGCGCGGGGAGCCCGCCGCGAGGGCAGACAGGAACGACGCGCCUGGCGCCGGCGGGGGAUGCGGGAGGGCAGCAGCUCACGGGCGAGGAGGCCCCCGCGACACGCGGGGGGGGGGGGGGGGGGGGGGGGGGGGGGGGGGGGGGGGGGGGCUCGAGGCCGGCGCGGGCGGCGGGAGGGGGACUCGACGUACCAGGGCUAUGACGUGCAGUGUCUGGCGAGGUGGGUGGACCACGCGCUGCCCUUCUCCCUGCUCCUCCUCGACGUCUUCAUCCGCCAGCACCUGCAAGGUUUCUUCGUAAUGAUUUGGAUUACCGCAGUCAUGUUCAAGUCAAAUGAUAUCUUGCGCAAGCAGACCGCUCUCAAGGCUACAAGGUUGGGGGAGCGACCCUGCCGUUGUCAUGAUGACUGCUCCUUCUGGCCGGAUCGAGGCACGAAGACCUGUGGGAUCCCCUCCUUCGGCAGGACCUCCUCAUCUGGAGGACUGCCUGUGAUGAGUUAAGGCACAAGAAGAUCUACAACCAUUUUAGCUCCAGCAGUUAGUACACAACCAAUCAACAGUGCAUUUUCACGACCCAGGCUUCUGAAUUCUGACUGACAGGCUCGCAGGCACAGUCACAUAUAAUCUCACGCAUUCAAAAUGCUAGCUACAUGAAAUACGCCCAGAUUUACGAGUAGAAAUCCAAGAUUCCUCCUCUAUGUUCAAUUUUCCUAAUAGGAAGAACCAUACCAACAACCCUUGAACUAGAUUGGUCGAAGCAGCAUACAUACAUAUUCAUGUUUUACAUUUUAAAUUUGAAGACCAAGGCAACUCCCGGUCGAUUUAAUUGGAGGCAUUGCAGUCCAAUUGUUCUAAGGAUUGGAACCAGACGUGUGACUCAAUACUGCUUGGAACAUGUGGAGGACCUUUGCAAUCUUAUCAAGCUUGACGCUAAACUGGCACUCUUACUUCAUCCCAUAUUACUCCUUCGAACAAUUUGUGCGCAAAGUUGAGGAAAUUGGGGCCAAUAAUCGUGUUAGAAUAAACUUCUUCCUUCCUUUUUCCGUACUGUGGGGCAGCAGGAUCUGAGUCCCACUACAUCGCCCUUUGAGAGCAUGGACCACCGUAUGGAAGGAGAAGUCAUCCUUGACUGUCGUUGUCUUUGGCAUGUUGCUACCAUUUUUUUUAAUCCUUACACUGCAGAGACCUCAGUAUAUCCAUGAUGAUAUGUUCCAAAGAGCCACAUGUGCCCAAAACAAUGGUGCCAAGCGCGUAGACAAUGAAGCAUUACCCUUUCUUGCUAAGGGAUUUGCUAGGAAAAAACAUCUCUGAAAAAAUAGGGCCAAAUUUGAAUUCUAAUAGAGUUGAAGAGACGCAUAGAGCAAGAGACAGGGAUAAUACUUCCUUAUGGGCUUCCUGAGAAUCUACAAUGAAGAAUAAGAAGGGUGCGGUAACUAAGUAUGCAUGUCAUAACUAAUUCUAUUGAAAAUAGUUAUUCAGGAAAAUUAACCUAUAUUGAAAUGUUGCAUGGUUCAUAUAUUGGGUCUAUGAAGAUUUGUUUAUGCAAUAAAAAUGCAUAAAUAAAAUCUCGUGUGGCUAUGUAAUUCACUUGUUAUAUGUCAAGUUCGAUCUCCUAAGAACAGGGUGAAACUGUUUGUUCCGAAGAAUAGAUGUCACUGUUCAGGCUCUCUUUUGUUGUACUUUCUUUUCGCUUUCCUUCUUAGCCCCUUUUUGAUAACUUAGUUCGAACCCCCCUCUUUAGGCCCCUCUGAUGGUUAGACUGUUAAUAUCCUUUUAGAUUUCCACUAGGCGGCCUUUGUAUAUACAGGUAUUCCAUUUUAUUGAUUAAUGCUACAAGCCAUGCUUUGGAUUGGCUCAUGACCUGUGUGUUGAUGUCCAUCUUUAUAUUUGAGAACUAAGGGCUCUGUCUUUUAACCAUGAACCAAUUUAAGUAGCAAGUCUGUUUUUGUUGGUUAGUUGUAUCAUUGUUAUUCAACAUUGAGCACUAAUUGACAACCAACCAUGAUCAUUCUUUGAGAAAGCUAUGGGACAUACC